UACGGGGGGGGCAAGCGUUGUUCGGAAUUACUGGGCGUAAAGGGCUCGUAGGCGGCUCACUAAGUCAGCCGUGAAAUCCCCAGGCUUAACCUGGGAACUGCGUCUGAUACUGGAUGGCUUGAAUUCGGGAGAGGGAUGCAGAAUUCCAGGUGUAGCGGUGAAAUGCGUAGAUAUCUGGAGGAAUACCGAUGGCGAAGGCAGCAUCCUGGACCGAGAUUGACACUGAGGAGCGAAAGCUAGGGGAGCAAACAGG
rnacentral:rRNA from 1 species